GAUGAACGCUGGCGGCGUGCUUAACACAUGCAAGUCGAACGAAGCACUUUAUUUGAUUUCCUUCGGGACUGAUUAUUUUGUGACUGAGUGGCGGACGGGUGAGUAACGCGUGGGUAACCUGCCUUGUACAGGGGGAUAACAGUUGGAAACGGCUGCUAAUACCGCAUAAGCGCCCAGCAUCGCAUGAUGCAGUGUGAAAAACUCCGGUGGUAUAAGAUGGACCCGCGUUGGAUUAGCUAGUUGGUGAGGUAACGGCCCACCAAGGCGAGGAUCCAUAGCCGAGCUGAGAGGGUGGCCGGCCACAUUGGGACUGAGACACGGCACAAACUCCUACGGGAGGCAGCAGUGGGGAAUAUUGCAAAAUGGGCGAAAGCCUGAUGCAGCGACGCCGCGUGAGCGCAGAAGUAUUUCGGUAUGUAAUGCUCUAGCAGCAGUGAAGAUAAUGACGGUACCUGACCAAGAAGCACCGGCUAAAUACGUG
rnacentral:rRNA from 1 species